rnacentral:misc_RNA from 1 species
AAGUCGUAACAAGGUCUCCGUUGGUGAACCAGCGGAGGGAUCAUUACAGAGUUGCAAGACUCCCAAACCAUUGUGAACGUACCCGAAACCGUUGCUUCGGCGGGCGGCCCCGGAUCUCCCGGGCGCCCCUGGGCCCUCGCGGGCGCCCGCCGGAGGCACACAAACCCUGUACCUUGCAUGGCCUCUCUGAGUCUUACUUUUAAAUAAGUCAAAACUUUCAACAACGGAUCUCUUGGUUCUG